rnacentral:rRNA from 1 species
UACCGGCAGCUCGAGUGAUGGCCAAUAUUAUUGGGCCUAAAGCGUCCGUAGCUGGCCGAACAGGUCUGUCGGGAAAUCCGCUCGCUCAACGAGCGGACGUCCGGCGGAAACCAGUCGGCUUGGGACCGGAAGACCCGAGGGGUACGUCCGGGGUAGGAGUGAAAUCCUGUAAUCCUGGACGGACCACCGGUGGCGAAAGCGCCUCGGGAGGACGGAUCCGACAGUGAGGGACGAAAGCUUGGGUCACGAACCGGAUUAGAUACCCGGGUAGUCCAAGCUGUAAACGAUGCUCGCUAGGUGUGGCACUGGCUACGAGCCAGUGCUGUGCCGUAGGGAAGCCGAGAAGCGAGCCGCCUGGGAAGUACGUCCGCAAGGAUGAAACUUAAAGGAAUUGGCGGGGGAGCACGGGGCGGGGGCGGCGGGCCGGGCGCGGGGCGCGGCGGGCG